CCGGGAACAGAACAGGAAUGGAGUCUUAGAACUUAAACCACUUCUGCAAUACUGCCUAUUAAAGGAAACAACUUCAAUGCCACCUCUGCUGAAAUCGCAAGUCCCUUCCUCUCAUCUCGUUAAGUUGUAAAUGAUGUACAUCCUGCAAAACAGGGAGAAAAAUACUGGACUUCAUCUCUGCCACAAACUGGGUAAUAAAAGGAGCGUAAGCAGU